CAUCAACUCCCACAAGCGAAAAAGAUCCAUGGGAAGUCCCAACAAAGUGAAGAAACCUAGAAAAGCGGAGGUUAAUUACUGUCCAGAUUACCCAUUGGGUGAAACAAAGGAUACGCUUGAAAAGCAAAGGAUGACACUACUGUCUGAGGUGACUAAAAGAAACAAUGAGCAGGUUAUCAAGGUCCUGAUGGAGAGAACAUUUGCGCUCCGGAGGCAUGAGGUGGUAGAAGAUUUGCCGUUCAUCGUUGAGUUUAGGAACAGAUGGCCAGCACUCUUUACUGAGAGAGAGGUAUCUGCAGAAUUCAGUAGGAUUACAACUAUCCCUUUGGUGUCCAAAUUUAUGGGUCAGCUGGAUCAUUUCUCAACCCAGCUCCUCAGAAUCUUCAGAAAGAAAGGAGGAACAGCAACACAGAAGAUGACAAACAUCCUGUCAGUUAUGGAUCGGAAUGACACCAUCGAAAAAAACCGUGAAUGCAUCUUGAAAGCCCUUACUGUUUACAUGAACGAAGACCCCUCAAACCUUGUGAAGGAGUACUUGGUAAGUUGUUUACUUUUGUUUGAAACCUUUUGUAUGUUUCUUUAAAACCAACUCCCACUUUCACCCCUG